AUUUAAGUAGUUUAAAAAAAAUAAAGAGUUGUGGUUUCUUAGAUGUAUAUUACCUUAAAUU
rnacentral:tRNA from 1 species